rnacentral:rRNA from 1 species
GAUGAACGCUAGCGGCAGGCCUAACACAUGCAAGUCGAACGGUAACAGGGAUUGCUUGCAAUCCGCUGACGAGUGGCGCACGGGUGCGUAACGCGUAUGCAAUCUGCCUUUAACUGAGAGAUAGCCCAGAGAAAUUUGGAUUAAUACCUCAUAAUAUUGUGAUUUGGCAUCACUUCACAAUUAAAGCUUCGGCGGUUAAAGAUGAGCAUGCGUCCUAUUAGUUAGUUGGUAAGGUAACGGCUUACCAAGGCAACGAUAGGUAGGGGGCCUGAAAGGGUGAUCCCCCACACUGGUACUGAGACACGGACCAGACUCCUACGGGAGGCAGCAGUGAGGAAUAUUGCGCAAUGGAGGAAACUCUGACGCAGCCAUGCCGCGUGCAGGAAGACGGCCCUACGGGUUGUAAACUGCUUUUAUAUAGGAAGAAACCCCGAUACGUGUAUCGGCUUGACGGUACUAUAAGAAUAAGGACCGGCUAACUCCGUGCCAGCAGCCGCGGUAAUACGGAGGGUCCAAGCGUUAUCCGGAUUUAUUAGGUUUAAAGGGUCCGCAGGCGGGAUUUUAAGUCAGUGGUGAAAGCCUACAGCUCAACUGUAGAACUGCCAUUGAUACUGAAAUUCUUGAGUGUGGUUGAAGUGGGCGGAACAUGUCAUGUAGCGGUGAAAUGCAUAGAUAUGACAUAGAACACCAAUUGCGAAGGCAGCUCACUAAGCCAUUACUGACGCUGAGGGACGAAAGCGUGGGGAGCGAACAGGAUUAGAUACCCUGGUAGUCCACGCCGUAAACGAUGAUCACUCGUUGCUAGCGAUACACUGUUAGUGACCAAGCGAAAGUGUUAAGUGAUCCACCUGGGAAGUACGUUCGCAAGAAUGAAACUCAAAGGAAUUGACGGGGGCCCGCACAAGCGGUGGAGCAUGUGGUUUAAUUCGAUGAUACGCGAGGAACCUUACCAGGGCUUAAAUGCAGAAUGACAGAUUGGGAAACCAGUCCUUCUUCGGACAUUUUGCAAGGUGCUGCAUGGUUGUCGUCAGCUCGUGCCGUGAGGUGUCAGGUUAAGUCCUAUAACGAGCGCAACCCCUAUUCUUAGUUGCCAGCGGGUAAUGCCGGGAACUCUAAGGAGACUGCCAGCGCAAGCUGCGAGGAAGGUGGGGAUGACGUCAAAUCAUCACGGCCCUUACGUCCUGGGCUACACACGUGCUACAAUGGAUGGUACAAUGGGCAGCCACUACGCGAGUAGGAGCUAAUCCUCAAAACCAUUCUCAGUUCGGAUCGGAGUCUGCAACUCGACUCCGUGAAGCUGGAAUCGCUAGUAAUCAGAUAUCAGCAAUGAUCUGGUGAAUACGUUCCCGGGCCUUGUACACACCGCCCGUCAAGCCAUGGAAGCUGGGGGCACCUGAAGUCGGUAACCGAAAGGAGCUGCCUAGGGUAAAACUAGUAACUGGGGCUAAGUCGUAACAAGGUAGCCGUACCGGAAGGUGUGGCUGGAACACCUCCUUUUUAGAGUUGGUUUGUUCAACGCUAAUACGACGCUGAAAAAAGUUGUUUAAAUGUCUAUCCCUUUAUUUAAUAUAUUUUUCCCACUGAAGUCUCGUAGCUCAGCUGGUUAGAGCGCUACACUGAUAAUGUAGAGGUCGGCAGUUCGAGUCUGCCCGAGACUACUAAAAGUAGUUUAACAAUCAGACUUUUUAUGAAUUAAACUAUUUGGGGGAAUUAGCUCAGCUGGCUAGAGCGCCUGCCUUGCACGCAGGAGGUCAUCGGUUCGACUCCGAUAUUCUCCACAAUUCCUGUUUUUGGAAAAAUGUUCUUUGAUGUAUUGUAAAUUAGAAAGAAAACAAUUAAGUUUAAGUAAAUUAAUAACGAUCACAAAAAGUAAUUAAGGGCGCAUGGCGGAUGCCUUGGCUCUCAGAGGCGAUGAAGGACGUGAUAAGCUGCGAUAAGCUUCGAUGAGGUGCAAAUAACCUUUGAUUCGAAGAUUU